rnacentral:tRNA from 1 species
GCAGUAGCUCAGUGGUAGAGCACCUGCAUUACAUGUAGAAGGUCCCAGGUUCAGUCCCUGGCAUCUACU